rnacentral:rRNA from 1 species
GACGAACGCUGGCGGCGUGCUUAACACAUGCAAGUCGAACGGAAAGGCCCUGCUUUUGUGGGGUGCUCGAGUGGCGAACGGGUGAGUAACACGUGAGUAACCUGCCCUUUACUUUGGGAUAACUUCAGGAAACUGGGGCUAAUACCGGAUCGGAGCUCCUGCUGCAUGGUGGGGGUUGGAAAGUUUCGGCGGUUGGGGAUGGACUCGCGGCUUAUCAGCUUGUUGUUGGGGUAGUGGCUUACCAAGGCUUUGACGGGUAGCCGGCCUGAGAGGGUGACCGGCCACAUUGGGACUGAGAUACGGCCCAGACUCCUACGGGAGGCAGCAGUGGGGAAUAUUGCACAAUGGGCGGAAGCCUGAUGCAGAAACGCCGCGUGCGGGAUGACGGCCUUCGGGUUGUAAACCGCUUUCGCCUGUGACGAAGCGUGAGUGACGGUAAUGGGUAAAGAAGCACCGGCUAACUACGUG